UAUUGUGAUGACAAGUUGUCGCCCCAGGCGGAUCUAUUCAGUGUAUAUUAUUUCUAUUUAAGUAUAAAAUAAUGUGCAGUCGGAAAUGACAGAAAUAUAACAACAAGCCAAACACUGAAAAUUCUGAUA
rnacentral:snoRNA from 1 species